UCCAGAAUUCUUAUAUGUCAAUCCAAGCAAUAGAUGAGCAUUUUGGAGCCGAGAGAGUGUGUUUUGUGAACGUACCCAAGCGACCAGAUUCUGGUCUUCACUUGGUCUGUAAUUGCCAAUGACUCUCCUUCCGGUGAUUAUCUCCAAAUACACUACUCCAAAGCUGUACAUAUCGGACUUUGUGUUCAACUGAUCGAUCAAUGCAUACUCCGGGCACAGUAGCCAUAAGUGCCCAUCACCCUUGUUGACACCCGAGUCUUAUCACCAGUUGGACCAAGCUUGGCUAGACCAGGGUUGAAUUCCCCAUCCAACAGUAUUUUAGAUGCUUUGAAAUCACGGCAAAUCACUUGUGUAUUGGCUUGUUCAUGCAAGUAUUCUACUCCUCUUGCUGUUGCUCCAGCAUUUUUCAUCAUAGUCUUCCAAUCUACAGGCUUUCAGAUACAAGAAACCUUUCACCCAAAAAUUUCUGGAGACUUUCUUGGACAUAAUGUUGAAGUUUAUAGAAUUGAAAAUCAGACACAAGUGAUUGCAAAAAACUUUCUUGGUGUUUCUCGUGGAGAUUGCAAAACCGAAAAUCAGACAUAGUUAGACUUACUUCAAGCAGACUUUAAGAGUUUUUCUUGGUGAUUUUGCAAAAAGUAAUAUGAAAGUUAGACAGUAGACUUGUAAAAGAAGCAUUGUUAUCUGUGGAGUUGGGGAGAGAUUUUCUUGAAAUUUUUCUUGGGAAUUCCGUAGAGUUGUCGAAUUGAAACUAACACAGUCUGGGCAAUACUAGAAGAAUGAUGAUCCUCCAUAGAACCAUUGACAUUUACAGUACACUAAUAUCCCUGAUCCCAUCGGCACAAUAGCUGAUAAAUUGACACGGUUAGGAGUAUGCGCAGAAUAAUGUUCAUGUGUCAAUUUACUUUUGCUUUGGAGAUUCGACUUGGAAAUAGAACCAUUAUCAUCUACUUGUGUUUUCAGGUCAGUCUCGAAGAUGGUUCUGAUAUAUGAGCUUCGAAACCUGGUCAAUCAUCUCCAGCAAAGCCAAGUUUCACUCUUCAUGCACACGAGAAAGCAAUUUGCACCAAAUGUACGUACUUCUCUCUACAACAAUUACAAUGCUUGAUUUCAACACAUACGCUAUAUUAAUUCAUAGUCCCUCUGAUUUUUCAUAGCUUCUUCACUGGAAAAAUGGUAGUUUGCUUUUGCUUCUGCUGGCAUCUAUCCUCAAAUUUGCAGUUAAGGUAUGUUUACUAUUCACCAUAACUAUAUAUAUAUAUAUAUAUGAAUCCAAUGUAAUAAUGUUCUCAAUGUCCAAAGAACAUUUAAAUAAAACUUUUGGGGCUGUGUUGUGAACCUUGUAUGUCAUUGCCUAACACUCACCAUUGCUGUUAUGGGCACUGUUCUAGGCCCUCGAGGUAGGUUCUCAGUCUAAUGGCAUCCAUAUUUGGACGCUUGCCUAAAUUGUCGACCGCUUAGGCCUUGUCCAGGGCUUAGACGUCAAAUUUAAGCUUUGCAACUAUCUAAUUCACCCAAGCAUUAGAAUUUUGUAGACGGAUUAUCCACUAAUUUUCUCCAUUUUUUGUUUUUCAAUCUUUGAAUUGAUCACAAAGCGUAUAAUAGAUUACUGUGAUUUGUUAUAUGAUGUGAAAUGAGCAUCAGCUAAAAUUCAGUAUUAUUUUAAUUUAUAUUUAUUUUUUACAUAAUGAACUAAGUCGUGAAAAUCAAGUAUAAAAGUAAUGAAGCUCCAAAGUUUUGUGUCAAAUAGCUGCUAGUAACUAAGAAUUUUUUAUUGUUUAUUUACAUUAACUUUCAAAGGAAAUGAUACAUAUACAUACAUAUAUUAUAUAAAUUUUAUAAUACAAAGUUACUAAAUUAAUUAAUUUUUUUUGUGAGUGAGCCAUGAAUAGUGUAAGGGGAUAAAAAUAUACAACUAUGGAUUUUGACCUUAUUAGGGCAGGCACUGCCACCGAGCUACACUACGAAGCAAGCUUGGUGACCCCUGCGCUAGAGUUAAGUCGAGACACCAUUGAACACAAGCAUCGUCUGAGCUAAGACCAUCAUCACCCCUUAGUUGACGCUAUUUAGUAAGCUCGGUGGAGUAAUUGUGCCGGAGUUUGAAUGAGGGGCAACGGUCGGCAGUGAUCCCGAAGCAUGUCAGGAGACAAAAGGUAAUUUGCGCGGCGAAAUUUUUUCUGAUAGCCCCACACUCGGAUAGAACGUCGGCAGUUCGAUGGUAGGCUACCAGCCAAGUCUUAAGAGGUUGGCUGUGUCAGUCGCCUACUCAUUGACAUAGCGGUCGGCGCGUACAAGCAUGCCUUGAGCCACAGUGUGUCCAAUGACAAGACAGUUAGCGCAUUAAGACACGCGCCAAGCUGUGCCAUAUAAAGUCAGCAUUUCUUUCUCUUAAAGGUAUAAAAAUUCAUUCUGAUGAAAAAUAUACACACUCUCUCUCUACAUUUUUCGGUUAUAUAACUUGACCGUUGGAGAACCGUUUCUUGAAAACAGUUUCGGCGAC
rnacentral:lncRNA from 1 species